UAUUGCAGGUGGCGAUGGCUUGCGCAUCCAACCCCUCUCAGAGGCGACCUGCAAUGUCUGUAGUACAGAGGAUGAUUGAAGACCGGCUGUCACAGCCACAGCACAACAAGAUCAUCGAAGCGAACGAUGACUUGUCUAAAAGGACAAGGGGUGCAAUUCUAGUGUGUCAAGAUUCUUGAUGUGAAGCAUGUGGACUAAUCCUGGUGCACUAUGGCCUUACAAUGGAUAUUAUUUAACAAAAAUCUGUCUGACGGAGGGGUGUUGGAAGUCUCAGACAGAGUCUAUGUGUUCGAUUACUGUCUCACCUGGGAUUGGUCUUUUUUCGGCCAAGUUACCACAGACUGGUUGUAGGAUGACGAAUAUAAGUUUUACAUGAGAGGCAUAGUUGCAAAACUCCAAGACCAAUUUCCUGCAGCCUCUUUCAUGGUGCUCAAUUUCAGAGAACAAGAUAACCAAAGCCAAAUGGCUAAUUUGUUGUCUGGAUAUGAUAUAACUGUCAUAGAACUCCCUCAAAUUAUGGAGGUUGCCCUAUACCGACAGUGGAGAUUAUCCACAACUUUUGAGAUCUGCCGAUGAAUGGUUGUCAUCUGAUAUGCAACAGAAUGUGCUGUCGAUGCAUUGUGAAAGGGGUGUGUGGCUAGUUUUGGCAUUCAUGUCGGCUUCUCUUUUGUUAUAUAGGAAGAAGCAGGAUGGGGAGCAGAAAACACUUGACAUGAUUUACAAGAAAGUGCCCCGUGAACUCUUGCAGCUGACAUCGACUCUAAAUUUGUUGCCUUCCCAGCUGAGAUACCUCCACUAUGUUUCCAUACAGAAUGCUGGUUCAGAUUGGCCUCCACCAGACAAGGCGCUUGUAAUCAAAAGUGUUGA